rnacentral:lncRNA from 1 species
AAGUGUGGGCCUUUUCCAUGCAUUUCUUUUUUACAUUGGCUGUUAACAAUAGAUUGCUCAGGUGACCAGCACGUGGCAUUUCUGUGUUUCAUCCAUACGUGAGCCAGGCUGUGUUAGUUCUCCCUUGGACCUCAACCAGGUGACCCUUGUCUGCUUUUGCCCCUUUAGCUAUAACUUUCCAUGGAAAACAGCCCUCAGUCUUCAGUAUUCAAAUGAUGUUGACAGCUUCAUUGGAGACAAAACUCACAACUCAACUUUUAGAUUACCUCUGUUCUAUUCAUGAAAGAAUACUCAGAAAUAGUUGUAUGUAUUUAUUUUUGAAAUUUCUUAAGGUUUUUUGUUUUUGUUUUUUCUUUUUAUGGCCACACCUGCGGAUGUCCUAGGCUAGGAUUGGAACUCGAGCUGCAGCUGCAGGCCUACGCCACAGCAACACCAAAUCUGAGCCACACCUGUGACCUACACUGCAGCUUGCAGCAAUACUGGGUCCUUAACCCACUGAGUGAAGCCAGUGAUUGAACCUGCAUCCUCAUGGGUACUAGAAGGGUUUGUUACCACUGAACCACAACGGAAACUCUUUGAGUUUGUUUUUUUAAUUGACGUACAAUGUAGUGUCAGUUCCUGCCCUGAUAAUAGUUUUCAAACAAAAAACGUGCAGGGUAGGGAAAUACCUUGUGCCAAAAUGAUUUGCACUUGUAGGAUGCUCUCUAAUCCUCUUACACAUUGAUUUCACUUCGGAAAAUGGAUUGGUGUUGUUUUAUAACUUUCAAAGAUGCUUAUUAAUUUAAAAGAAAGCAUUAUAGGAACAAAAGAAUAGCAUUUCAUCACAUUUAUUUUGCCGUGUGCAUUUGGAGUGUCUCUGAAUAGCCACUUUCGCUGUGUGUUUUACAGAAUUCUUAUUUGUCUUUAAGAGGCUGGAACUCAGUCUUCAAACUGUCUGAAUUAUGACAUGGGUGUGUUUAUGCCGUGACUUAGUACAAAUGCAUCCAUGUUUACUUCCAGAUAGCUUACACUGGCCUGAUUACUGGACUAUAUGCAUAGAUAAGAGAAAGAUAUUAGGAUGCUUAAUGUUACUUUUCAAAAUCUGAGAUACAAAGCUUGAAUUGGUUAAUUAACAAUUUGUGUUUUAUAUUAAAUUCCCUAUUAUUUUCCAGGGAGGGACUUUACAUUUUGUAAAAACUUUAGUAAGCAAUCAUUACAGAAGUGUUCG